rnacentral:rRNA from 1 species
AAUUGGAGGGCAAGUCUGGUGCCAGCAGCCGCGGAUAAUUCCAGCUCCAAUAGCGUAUAUUAAAGUUGUUGCAGUUAAAAAGCUCGAAGUUGAAUUUCGGGAUCAAUAUUUCGGUCAUGCCGUUGGUAUGCACUGUUAUCAUUGAUUUCUCACCUUCUAAAGAACCAUAAUGCCAUUAAUUUGGUGUUACGGGGAAUUAGGACUGUUACCUUGAAAAAAUUAGAGUGUUUAAAGCAGGCUCACGCUUGAAUACAUUAGCAUGGAAUAAUGAAAUAGGACAUCCGAUUCUAUUUUGUUGGUUUCUAGGAUCGAUGUAAUGAUUAAUAGGGAUAGUUGGGGGCAUUAGUAUUCAAUUGUCAGAGGUGAAAUUCUUGGAUUUAUUGAAGACUAACUACUGCGAAAGCAUUUGCCAAGGAUGUUUUCAUUAAUCAAGAACGAAAGUUAGGGGAUCGAAGACGAUCAGAUACCGUCGUAGUCUUAACCAUAAACUAUGCCGACUAGGGAUCGGAUGAUGUUAAUUUUUUAAUGACUCAUUCGGCGCCUUACGGGAAACCAAAGUGU